CGGUUAUUGUGAAACAUUGAUUAAUGGUGACUUAAUGUCAAUCGGUUAAUGUUAUCAGGACAAUACUUUGUUAGCGAAAUAUUAUAAUAAUAUCUUACUAAAAAUUAGUUGGAAAAUAAAUGUGCUAGCUCACAAGGAUCCAGUACUUCAGUUGAGGGGAAUAUACUGCUUUGUUAAGUCAACAAAGAAAAACAGCAAUACAAGCGCUGUUACUUUGCGUUUUUUUUCGUUUUUUUUUUUUUUUGAUGUGCUUGUACUGAUUUUGUGUCAUGCAUGGAUACCCUUAAUUCUGUCUUUUAUUUUAAACUGUAAAUGGUAGAAGGAACUACAAUGUAUUAUAUUAAUAAAUUUCAAUGACAAAUAACAAUUACACCCAAAACAACCAACUUUAAUAUUCCAAUUACAAUAAACAAAUGGUUUCUAUUAAGAAGUCGUCGAAAAGGGUCAUUUUAAAUGCACUGUAUCCGUUAUAAUGGACCUUCGGUAUUCAACUGACUAUGUUCAUAUAAUGAUACAUGAAUUACUCUAUCUCACGUAAACUAAUCUUUUAUUAAAAUGUGAUAUUGAAGAUAAAUGAAUAAGAUGAUUACAACAAACAUAUGUUUGACAAGACAUUAGUUUUCUACUCAACAAGUAAU
rnacentral:lncRNA from 1 species